rnacentral:rRNA from 1 species
CCUACGGGCGGCAGCAGUGGGGGAUAUUGCACAAUGGGGGAAACCCUGAUGCAGCGACGCCGCGUGGGUGAAGACGCGCCUCGGCGCGUAAAGCCCUGUCAGCAGGGAAGAAAAUGACGGUACCUGAAGAAGAAGCACCGGCUAACUACGUUCCAGCAGCCGCGGUACUACGUGGGGGGCAAGCGUUAUCCGGAUUUACUGGGUGUAAAGGGGGCGCAGACGGCGGUGCAAGCCAGGAGUGAAAGCCCGGGGCCCAACCCCGGGACUGCUCUUGGCACUGCGGGGCUAGAGUGCAGGGGGGGCAGGCGGAAUUCCUGGUGUAGCGGUGAAAUGCGUAGAGAUCAGGAGGAACACCGGUGGCGAAGGCGGCCUGCUGGACUGCAACUGACGUUGAGGCCCGAAAGCGUGGGGAGCAAACAGGAUUAGAUACCCUUGUAGUC